CAGCCGCCACGGUAAUACGAAGGGGGCUAGCGUUGUUCGGAAUCACUGGGCGUAAAGCGCACGUAGGCGGACUUUUAAGUCAGGGGUGAAAUCCCAAGGCUCAACCUUGGAACUGCCUUUGAUACUGGAAGUCUUGAAUUCGGGAGAGGUGAGUGGAACUGCGAGUGUAGAGGUGAAAUUCGUAGAUAUUCGCAAGAACACCAGUGGCGAAGGCGGCUCACUGGCCCGAUACUGACGCUGAGGUGCGAAAGCGUGGGGAGCAAACAGGAUUAGAUACCCGCGUAGUCCCUGUCUCUUAUAC
rnacentral:rRNA from 1 species